GGGGAAUAUUGCACAAUGGGCGAAAGCCUGAUGCAGCAACGCCGCGUGAGUGAUGAAGGUCUUCGGAUUGUAAAGCUCUGUCUUUUGGGACGAUAAUGACGGUACCAAAGGAGGAAGCCACGGCUAACUACGCGCCAGCAGCCGCGGUAAUACGUAGGUGGCGAGCGUUGUCCGGAUUUACUGGGCGUAAAGGGUGCGUAGGCGGAUGUUUAAGUGAGAUGUGAAAUACCCGGGCUUAACUUGGGUGCUGCAUUUCAAACUGGAUAUCUAGAGUGCAGGAGAGGAGAAUGGAAUUCCUAGUGUAGCGGUGAAAUGCGUAGAGAUUAGGAAGAACACCAGUGGCGAAGGCGAUUCUCUGGACUGUAACUGACGCUGAGGCACGAAAGCGUGGGUAGCAAACAGGAUUAGAUACCCUGGUAGUCCACGCCGUAAACGAUGAGUACUAGGUGUAGGAGGUAUCGACCCCUUCUGUGCCGCAGUAAACACAUUAAGUACUCCGCCUGGGAAGUACGAUCGCAAGAUUAAAACUCUAAAGUGAAUUGAC
rnacentral:rRNA from 1 species